GAGCAACAAGUGCGGGGCUGCCGGGAGGUGUCACAGGAUCCGCGACUGUCAGCGAUCCCGCAGCGGCAGCCAACGCGCCCAAAAUAGCCCGCGGCCGGGGGCGGGGUCUGCCCGGGCGGGGACCGAGUGGGGGGGACCACCUGGGAGCUGGGCCCCAGCACCGCCCCACGAUCCAGCGCGGGGGAAGCCACGGACGAGGAGGCGGUGGCUCUGCCACAGGAGGAUGUCCCGGGGAGGAUAAUGAAGGCAAAGAGAGGGAGAAGAGGAAGGAGAAAGCCUUCUCUACCUCAAGCUCCCACCAGGACGUACUGUGCUGCCACAGGCCCAAAGGAACAGAGACUGUGGGCUGAAACCUCCAAAAGUGUGAGCCAAAAUAAAUUUCUCCUUUUGGAGAAACCGGAACAGGACUGUGAGCUGUCACUGCAUCCUGCCACCGCAAGACAGAACCUGACAGACAGCAAAGCCUACCGAGAGAAAACAGGCCAAGGUGUGGAGAGAGGAAGCCCCGAGUUCUCAUGUGUCCUCUGAGUGACAGAUUUCAUGGUGCCUGGAACUUGACACCCCUAGAAUUUUCUGUUCUAGUGGUCGGUGAAAUCCCUUUUUGGCUCAGACAAUCUUGAGUUGGGUUUUCUGAUGUUUGCAACUGAAGACUGAUGUACACAUUGUUUAGAACCUACACAGAAUCAAGCUGGGUAUGAGGUGCUGUUUAUGAUAAAAAGGACCUCAGUGCUAGUCUAAGGUCGACAUGAGCCAACAACACAAUGAUGCACUUUUAAAACUAUUUUUAAAGGUGCAGAUUUUCAUUAAAAAACUGUAUUGUUUUUGCAGGUUCUUGAGCAAAGAUAUGAAAUGAAAGGGGAAAUGUAUUCAGAAAUUGACAAAAUUUCAGAGAAAGGCUAUAUGUAUAGAGUUAAGGCAAUUAUAGAUACCUGAAAAGUAAAGUAAUAAGAAUCAUAAAAUGAUAUUUCCAUUAACUGAUUUUUUUCAACAGAGAUAAUGUAAUAUAAUGCAAAAAGCACUAGACCAACAUGCAGAAAUUCUGAAUUCAAGACUUUCUAGCCCUAUAAUCUGGUUAUACAACCUCUCAGAACCUCAGUGUCUUUAUCUGUAAAUUGAAGAUAAAAGUUACAUUCCCUGAAGUUACUGUAAAAUUUAAGUAAUAUUAUUUAUCAAUAUACAUAGCACACCUAACACAGGGACCAAUCCAUAAACAAAGAACAAAAGACCUAUUUUCCCCAAAAUGCAUAUAAGAUAGGCACUGAGCAGAGUAUUUCAUAGGUAGCAUCUCACUUAAUCCCCCAAUGUAAACCUAAUAAUGAGGCAGUGACUAUUCUUAUCCUAUUUCGGAGAUGAACUAGCUAAUUAAGACAGAUUAGCCACUCAGCUAAAAGCUUAUAAAACUAGGAUUUGUAUCCAGGUCUGUUGGUUUCCCAAAUCUUUGUACUUAAUGACUCAAUAAGUGAGCACUAAUUAAUAUUAUUGGCAAUGUGUCUAGGUGAAUGGAAGUAAAGUAAAUAUAUAGAAAUAGUAAAUGCCCAGUCUGCAAAUGAAGGUGAAGAACAGCUACCAGAUUGUUUAAAAAAGAAAUUCUCCCCCCAGGUAAAGAAUGAAAUGCCCUUCAUCUUAUUUAACUAUCUCCCUGCAUGGCAUGAACUCUUUGAGUUACAUACAAAAUUACUUCCUGAAAGGUAUAAGCUAUUAUACAAUGCAAAUGCAUUCUUGAAAAGAGAAAUAAUUGAUCUAACUGCAAUUGUACUAUUACUUUUAAUGCCUGUCCUGAGGGAGCAGGAUACAACAUGAAAGUCCUACCCUAGAAUUCUAGGAGCAUCUUUGUAUUUAAGUCUAUUUCUUUUUUACCCCAUUUAUUUCCAUAUAAAUACAUCUCCCUCCAAUUUAGGAUCUCAAAGAAAUAGAAUAAAACAUUUCUGUGUGUUAUUAUGGGAUCAUGGGGAGGCAGAUGCAGAGGAAAUUUAUUUCUGUAGUGCUGAAAUACAUGGUUCUCUUUAAUCCACAUCUGGGGAGGUAGCCUUGAUUCUAUUUUGACAUAUACUUCACCCAACUGUGCAAUUUUUAAAUGAUGUGCCAGAUAGAUUACUUCUACCCCCACAAAACUUAGGCGGCAGAAAAUCAAAGAGUAUUACUUUGAAUUGUUUCAAUUUCUUCCUUCUAGGAAGAAGACAGUAAUAUCUUGAUUUGGUUAAAUUCACAAACAUUUCUUGGGUGACUGCUUUGUGCCAGGCAUUGGGGUUGACACUGGAGAUAAAUUAAUGAAUAAGACCUAGACCCGCCAUCAAAGAGCUCAGUUGACUCAGUGUCACAUGUGGGGUGCUCCCAACUCUCACCCCUUUUCUAGCCAAGCGGAUACAAUGCAUUUUUAGGAAAAUACAGAAAUAAAGCUCACAGUUUUGAGAAAAGAUGCUCAUUGCCUAAGUUUUCAUAACCAGAAGGUGAGACUGCACUUGGAUAUACACCAGCUGCCUCACAAAUGAGUCCUCUUCCAUUGAGAUGGUAAUUUCCCAAAUUAUCAUUUUCACAUGUAUUAUCUACGGACCAACUCCCAUACAUCAGAUACUCUUGGAAGCAUUUAGACCUUGAGGAAUAAAACAGCUGUGGACAGCCUAUACUAGGGGUGGGGUCUUAGGAUCCAUUGUGGGAGACAGGACAAACACAUAAGCAAAUAGAUGUAUGAGUAUAAAUUGUGAUCAAAGCUAUUAAAGGAAUUGAUGGGCAAAUAUCACAGUGAGGGAACCUCCUUUGCAGGGAGGUUCAUUGGGAAGCCUCUCUGAGGAGAAGACACUUAAAAUCAGAUUUGAAAGAUGAGCAGCAGCCUGUUAUUUGAAAACUGAAGGGAAAAGAGAUGGAACAUCGCAUGAGGGACCUGGGUAGGAUAAAGCACGUUGCACUGAUGAACUGCAGGCCUGGCUUUAAUGGCCCCAUUUUAUCCCUGUGAGGUCUACCUUGUGGACUCACAUUUCCACUCUUCCCUAUGUAACUGUUUCAUACCACCUUUGUAAUUUCAUUAAAUCUUUGGAGAAAAUCAGCCCAAAAGUUUUCAUUCAGUGAAGAAGUUCCAGCAUAAACCAAUAAUGAUUGCUCCACUGAAUCUAUGUUGAGAUCGUAGCAAAUCAUUUAGAAGAGAAUUUCUGUUUUGCCCUGUAAUUUUUUUGAUAUCUCCAGUUAAAUUCACUUUGCCAAAAGUUUGUAAUGCAAUCCUAGGUACAAAAAGUAAUCAUUAUUCUAAGACACCUUUGCAGUCUACGUACUUUUUCAUUGCAAGGUCCCUCACACU